rnacentral:lncRNA from 1 species
GGGUCCUGUGGCCCCAAUCCGGCCCGGACAGAGAGCGGGCCUCGCCGCGGCUCCCCUGUCCCCGGGGUUUGACAGAGGAAGUUAGGGGUCCUGGGUCCAAGCUCCGGCUGUACCCUGACUAUCCCGUGACACGUCGGGCGGGGCCCUUCCCCUGUCUGGGCCUCAGUUUCCACAUUUGUGCAGUGAGGAGAUGAUCACUGUAUCCUCGACGUGGAGCCGGAAGGGACCUUCGAGGUCUAGUCUGCCCCCUUUAUUUUACCAAUAAAGAAUCUGAGGCCCACCAAGGGAAGUGACUUGCCCAAGGUCACACACAGGUGGUAAGGGACAGUGGUCAGAUUUGAACCCAGGCCCUCUGACUCCAAAUCCAGGUGUCUGCACUUCCCCGGACUGAGGGUCUCUCUGUAAGAUCCUUGCUGGUUGUCAGGGUCAGGGCGACGACUCAGUGACUGUUCCUGUGACCCCCUAGUGCUGUGGGAGCUCAGAGGCCAAGAUGCUCAUCUGUGUAUAAAAACAGGAAGGAGCCUUCUCAGAGAAACAAGAAUCCUGGCGGCAGCUCGGGUGUCAGUGCCUUUUCCACCUUCCAUCAGCUUCUCUUCAUCUGAGAUACUUCAGCAGCAGAAGGUUCUGCACCACCUUAAUGGUCUUCAGCAUGUCCUAUUGCAGGCUAUGAAAUCUGGCACAAAGAUCAUUUGGACACCAAGAUUAGGGUAACAUAAAGUUUACUCACAAGAUGUAGCAGGUGAUAUUCCAAGGAUGCUUGUUGAAUGCAGCUUCCUGUGGUCCCCUGUGAAGAUGCACUCAAGAGUCUCCUGUGGAGGCAGGCGGCACAGAGCUUCAGUUCUGUCAGGUCAUCUCAUUAAUAAAGGAUGAAAUCUAUUACUAUUCCCUACCCCC